UACAGAGGGUGCGAGCGUUGUCCGGAAUCACUGGGCGUAAAGGGCGCGUAGGCGGCUCAGUAAGGUUGCGGUGAAAGCCCGGGGCUCAACCCCGGGUCGGCCGUGGCAACUGCUGGGCUGGAGCACUGUAGAGGCAGGUGGAAUUCCGGGUGUAGCGGUGGAAUGCGUAGAUAUCUGGAGGAACACCGGUGGCGAAGGCGGCAUCCUGGACCAAUUCUGACACUGAGGAGCGAAAGCCAGGGGAGCAAACGGG
rnacentral:rRNA from 1 species